AAAAAGUUGUUCUGGACGGGGUAUUUUUCAAUCAGUAAGUUCACAGAAACUCAGGAUCAUACCUUAGAACAAUGUAAAUCCCCUAUUGUCAAUAACCUUCUACUUAUGUCUGAUAGUCAACCAAUAACUCAAUUCCAAUUAUCUCAACAAAUUAUACAACCUUCAUUAUCAAACUAUCAGCUUACUCAAUCUCAAAUUCUAGCAAUGCCCAACAUGCAGUCUGCUAAUACCAUAUCAAGCAAUAUGUUUACUCAGUCUCAGUUCUUUGUCACAAACUCUCAACCAACUUUA